CAUCACAGAGAAAAAAGUUACUAAACCUCUUUUCAACACCAUCGAGUAAAGCCGCAGCCAAAGGUUCACAGACUAUUAGGUUCCCAGAAUUUGUAAGGUCAUCAAUUUUUCUCUUGAUCAUGAUAAUUGAAAGUAACAUAUGCGAUAUGCCCAGCUCUAACUUGAUUACCUGUUUCCCCUUGGAAACUUUUUAAAGCAGUUGCAAUUGGCUUCAUAAGCAUAACAUAUUGUUUCAUAAACAAUAUUUCCAGUGAAUUAAAAUCUGCAAUGCCAUUAUAGUCACACAGAAAAACAAUACAGACUUCGUUAACAGACGAAGUAUCGCUAUCGAGUAUCGAUCGAUACCGAAACGAUACCGUACCGAUACCUAUUUUUUAAAAGUAGCGCCGAUACGGUCCCGAUACCAGGUAUCGCUAUCGCCGAUAAUAUCGGUAUCGAAGCCGAUAUUACGUCAUGAGUUGUCCAGUAUGUUCAAAAGUGCCCCAAAUCGAGUUGGUGUUAGUGCACUCCUGUAAAACAAGCAUCGCUGUGUUUGCUUUGAUGCAAACAUUACUGUUGAAUGGGCUGAUGGUGAAAUCAGACGUGUACUUGAAAGCUUGACCUUUGUUAGUUACUUUGCUGCAGUUUCCUACGGAUACUUGUGAUUGCACUAGGGGAUCGUUGCUUGUGGUUAAUGUUUUCAGUUUAUCUUGACAUUUUAUCCAAUCUGCGUCACAAUCUUCCAUGGUUAGUUGUUUGUUAAGCCCAUGAUGUGUGACACAUUUUCCGUUUGGAUAUUGUCCAUUUUUCAACAACCCCCAGGCGAUCAUGUCCCAGAUGAUAUUUCCACUGCCAUGAUUUGCUUUCAGGAAACAUCCAAAUAUGGGUGAGUUGAUUGUGGUUGUAACUGCUCUUCGUUGCUCUAAUCGGACUUCUUGAAUAUCCUGCAAUGGUACGUCGGGGAAAUUUUCUAUAACAUCCGGGUUAGUAUUUAUUGUUUGAAAAAACCACUGCUGGUUUUUUCUCGUAUCUCCCUCCAUAGCAGACUGUUCCAAUUUUAAGGAUUCGUCGAUUCCUACGGUUGCAGCAAAUACGUGGUCGUUUUUGUUUCCGUGAUGCAAAUAUUAGUGUUUUGUACACGUAUUGUUGGAUCGACAAUGUACUCAAAUUUCGCUCCUGGUGGGAGAUUGUCGUCCUUUGAAAGUUGACUGUACGUUAUUAAACGAUUUUUGCUUCCAGACUCUUCCCCAGCCGUAUAAAAUGCUGUAGAGGCAAAUCCCCAGUUUUUCUUCUUCGAUUUGGGUGUUGAAAAGAAAGUGGACCUCUUGAAGAACAGAAUGUUGUGACCGGGACUUAUACAGUUCUCUGUAGUCUUCGCAUACUGGUGUAGCAGGGUUGGUAUUUUGAAGGCAUGUUGCGAUUAUGUUUUUGAACAUUUCGUAUAAUAUUUUUGUUGUUUCUGCAGAAAACGCAAGGUAUGUCAGUGGUAUUCCAAUUACUUUAUAUCCGACUGCUGUAACAUCUUUAUCAGGCUUAUUGAAGAAGGAUAUCUCUAGCUUUCGAUUGUUGUCAUAGAGGCGACUGGAGUUGUUGUUUUCUGGUGAACGAGGAAUCUCGAGGUAAUCAUUUCUUUUUAGUAAAGUUUGGGAAUACGAAUGUCUCGUUGGGACCUCCAAAUGUAAAGAUUUCUAGUGUAACGAAGGCCUACAAAUUUAUUUAAUCAACAUGCCCACAUUUUACUGUCUUAUAUUUACUCCCCUUUUCAUUUAUGAUAUCCGCCUUUUUCCUUAUGUAAACGUUUACAAUUCGUACUGUAUUUCAUGCUCAUUUCCUUGAAAUGUUGUUUGUCAAUUCGGAGAUGAAGUCAUCGACGCUUUGGUCUGACCUCAAUGAACACCUGAAACUGACGUAUGUGCGAUGCGCAUAUUGCAAAAUAAAUAAGCAACCGGUUGAUUGGUUGCAUACACGUCACAAUCAAUAUCUUAACAAAACCUUUUUUGAUUGGUUACCCGUGCGCGACAACAACAGUUGCAACAUGCCAUGAGCGUCUGUGACCACUCCUGAAAUGCGAUGUUUCGUGGUGAACCCACAUUUCUGACAAACAGAGUCGAUUCGCAACAUCCAAGCAGUUCAUACGUCAAUUGCUGAGUGUUUAAACCGUGAGUUUGUCCGUACAAUUUUUCUUUUCUCUUGUUCUCAAACUUUGUUAUUUUGUAAGCACUUUUCGUGUUUUCGCCUUCUUGAACUGUCUGUGCACUCGUGCCUUGCUCUCGCUUACACGAGCCGCAUCUUAUCGUUUUUACCACCGUGCGCUCCCGUAACGCUCGCGCUACAUCGGUAAGCUUCUAACUUCCCUUAUGUUUCUGUCAUUAUGAUUUAGCUCGUUAUCCCAUUUCUUGUCCUAUUGUAUGUCCCUUCCCAUGUAAUCCUUAUGGCCUUAGUCAAGUAAAUACACACCAAUCAUUGUGGGUAAUUCGCCACCGAGUUCAGUCUAUUUCCAAAUCUCAGAUACACAUUUCAAUCUUUGUAAUACUCUUCCCCACACAAGGAUGUAUUACAUAAUGGUGGCAGCGCUUUUUGAACUCAACCACAAUGAAUAAUGAUGUUAUUACUGACGGGUCUAGAAUUCCACGAACUCCUAUACACCCCAGUGUGCCCCGAAUUAAUGUUCCCCUGUCCAGUGAGCUAACUAUAGCUAGAUUGCUUAAUUUCGAUAAGUUGCCUGUUUAACCCCAAAUUGCACCUCAUACAUGUCCAGCUUGUACCACUCCCAAACCAAUUUCUGAACCGGGAAAUAAACGAGUCGUUGCGAGGGAGUCAUCAGGCAGUUCAGUGGUUUCUCGGGCCGCGUUACCAGUAAUCAUGGCCCAACGACCACCUGCCCCCCGACUGAAGUACCGGGCUCCUCCGAUCUUCUACGGGAGGAAGGAUGAGGAUGCAGCGGAUUGGCUAGAGCGUUAUGAGAGUACGGCUCUCUAUAACCGCUGGAGACCAGAUGAGAUGGCCGAGAAUUUUGGGAUCCAUCUGAAUGGGGCGGCUAGGAAAUGUUUUCUCUGCUCUGGAGCCCCGGCUGUGUGACGGGAUACACCGGCAGUGGCCGCAGCGCCGGGGGGUGGUGGCUGUGCAUGGGACGGAAGGACUACGAACGAGAUUUCUUAGAGCCUUCCAGCCGCAACAUUAUGGUCGCUAUCAAGAGACAAAGUUACGACAGUGGAAGAAAGGGAUAGACGAAUCAGGAGUGGAAUACUUCUACGACGUCGU